UAGGGAAUCUUCCGCAAUGGACGAAAGUCUGACGGAGCAACGCCGCGUGAGUGAUGAAGGUUUUCGGAUCGUAAAGCUCUGUUGCCAAGGAAGAACAGCCAAGAGAGUAACUGCUCUUGGAAUGACGGUACUUGAGAAGAAAGCCCCGGCUAACUACGUGCCAGCAGCCGCGGUAAUACGUAGGGGGCAAGCGUUGUCCGGAAUUAUUGGGCGUAAAGCGCGCGCAGGCGGUAUAUUAAGUCUGGUGUUUAAGCCCAGGGCUCAACCCUGGUACGCACUGGAAACUGGUAGACUGGAGUGUAGGAGAGGAAAGUGGAAUUCCACGUGUAGCGGUGAAAUGCGUAGAGAUGUGGAGGAACACCAGUGGCGAAGGCGACUUUCUGGCCUAUAACUGACGCUG
rnacentral:rRNA from 1 species